UUCCUUCUGGAAUGCCAUUCCACGCUUGAAGUCAGAUCACUCCCUGGUCUUACACACCUUUUGCAGACUUGAGUCAUCUGCCUGCCUCUUCUUCAGGAGAGGGUGUGCUGUGGUGUGUCAACUUAGGGGCAGAAAGAUUGUCAAAACAUCAUUAGAGAUGCUCUGAGGGUUCCUAUGGUGAAAGCAGAAUGGCUGCUGGGAGGAGGAGCCACUUGGCAGGACCCCAGCCACUCACUAAGGAAAGAGGGAGGGCGGCUUGUCAGGGUGGAGCCAGGCAUCCGCCUGAAGAUUCUGAAGCAGAUUGGGGCAGGUGGCUUCUUGAGAAGCCUUGUCAUGUGAGGGUGGAGGAAGGAGGAGGAAAGAUGAUCUACCUGUUUGCUAAUGUCCUUUUGUCUCAACAGCUCCGGCCUGAAUCUGGUUUCUAUUCUGUCCCCAGUUGCAUGGCUUCCUAUCUGCAGCCCAAUUCUGAGAAAAGGAAAGAAGGUCAAAGCAAGGCAAGGGAACACAGAAAGGUUUGCCCUGGCGGGGGGGGGGGGGGGGGGCGGGGGACACAUGCUUGGAGAGCCUUCACCUGGGGAAAAGGUGCACCAGCCCAGGAGAGAACAGAUCCGUGGGACCAGAAGAGAACGAUGGUCCCAGAAAACCUGAAUCUUGGCCUGCCUGUCCCACAUAAUAAAUCUAAACAUCUGAUGCUCCAACAUUCUCUCCCGAUCAGAAGAGAUCAGGUGAGCCUGAGGAUGACUCAGCCGAGGCCGCUGGGAAAACAGGCUGUGGCCUGUGAAAAAGUUGGGUCAGGCAUAGCAUUUGAGGGCUGGCUCACGUUAUGGCUCAAACUUUCACCCCCUCCUUGUUUCUAUCACCAUUCCCUCCUUGCCCAGACCAGACUUGCCUUUCAGAUCUACAGAACUGGGAUUUUGGAUCUGGCAAGAGUCUUAUUUUGUCAUCAUCCCUCCUUUUGUAGGCUCUGAGAAUGGCUAAAGCACCUCAGGUUUGUGAAUUCCCCUCCCUGCAAAGCAAAGCUACCGUGUUGGCCAAUACGUCAGCAGGUAGGAACAAUACUUGGCUCACUUGUUAGAUAUAAUCUGCCUGGUGUGUCCCUGUGUGGGUGGAAACCAAGGCGUGAUGACUACCUAUCUCAGUAUCAAUAAACACAAACCACUGCAAGUCUGUACACCUUCAGUGUCCCUUAUGAACCAAGCUUCCGAGUUACCCUCUGAGAGGAGAGACGAUAAGAUACAGUGCCUGUCCACAGUGCGUAUGUUAGAGAACAUGGAAUGAAAAGCUUGUCCCUCAUUUGAUAUGAAUAGCUACCAAUUAUUCAGCACCUACCAUAUUGUAUUAUAUUUUCCACAUUGCAUUCUAUUUUCUCUAGUCUUCUCAACAACUCGCUAAGGCAAGUAUCAGCCUCCUGUUGAUAUGGAAACUGAGGCUCAAAGAGCUCAAGUGAUUUGUGCAGGCCAGGCAUCGAGGGCAGCCCUCAGCUCUGGGAGGCUAAAUGUCAGAGGAAGACAGAAGUCAAGGAUGUUGCAAACCUUCCAUUCUUGGUUUCACACAGGCCUGGGUUGAAAUCUUAGUUCUAGCACUUGUCACUUGCGGGGCCUUGGGAAAGCUGCUCCCUGUCUUGGCUUCUUCAUAAGACAACUGGAAAGAUGAAAUGAGAGGAGGUGAGCAUUGCUCAUUUCCCCAGAACGUUUGGGUGCAAAGUGACUCAUUUUGGCAGAGCAUGCUCAUCCCCUUGAUCCCGUGCCACUUCCUCACCAACUUCAGCUUUUUACCUUCUCCACCUUCUCAGUGAGACCUUCCCUAUCCAAAAGGCCAACCCCACCCCAACUCUCCUUAUCCCCUUUCCUACUUUAAUCACCAAGUAAUAUAUUAAAAAUUGUACUUAUUUAUUUUUGUCUGUCUUGUCUGUCUCUACCCACAGAAGGUGGAGUUUUUGACAUUUAGAAUCUGUAUUUUUUUCUGUAUCAUCCCAAGCACAAAUACAGAUUGGUUAAAAGAAUGAAUGAAAACAAAACUAAACAAAAACCCCAAAACUUUUUGACACCAAAAGAAAUUGGCUUUUUCCUCACUACCUCUUUUCCCGGGCUGGGGGUGGGGGGAAGCCUUGGUUUCCUUAUUUGCAAAAUAAUGGUUUCUAUUUUGAAGACUGCUGGGAUGAUUAAGUGACAUGUGUAUAAAAACUGGCACAUAGCAAGUGCUGAAUAAAUGCCUGCUAUCAUCACUCAAAAUAAUCUGACCAGUUGUUUAAUGAAACUCAAGGAAACCAUCUGUCAAUGGAACUCAGAUCUGAAGUGUCCAGCCUCAGUGUUUCAGCCCAGUUGUCUUCCGGGUUGGACCAUAAACAGUCGAAUAGGUGUGAAAUCGCCCCGUGUUACAAUCCAAGGCGGCUGUUAGGUUUGCUUCACUGUUACAGUCUCACUACUGAAGGCAGCUCAAAUGACUUGCCCAAGAUCACUGCCUCAAAAGCCAGGGCAUGUAGGAUCUGCACAAAUCCAGCCUCCUGAAAGUAUACAUUACACUGUCCCUUCUUCCAGGUUCUCUCUACAAGGUGGGAGGGUGGCACUAGUCUUCAGCCAGGCUUGUCACUAUCAUCUCCUGCCAUUCACAUAACUUUUUUGACACCCAGUUUUAUGGCUCGCAUAAAUGCAAAAUAAAAAAUCCACUCCUCACAGCUUUGUGGCCAGGAGCACCAGCGCG